rnacentral:rRNA from 1 species
GACGAACGCUGGCGGCGUGCUUAACACAUGCAAGUCGAACGGAAAGGCCCUGCUUUUGUGGGGUGCUCGAGUGGCGAACGGGUGAGUAACACGUGAGUAACCUGCCCUUGACUUUGGGAUAACUUCAGGAAACUGGGGCUAAUACCGGAUAGGAGCUCCUGCUGCAUGGUGGGGGUUGGAAAGUUUUGGCGGUUGGGGAUGGACUCGCGGCUUAUCAGCUUGUUGGUGGGGUAGUGGCUUACAAAGGCUUUGACGGGUAGCCGGCCUGAGAGGGUGACCGGCCACAUUGGGACUGAGAUACGGCCCAGACUCCUACGGGAGGCAGCAGUGGGGAAUAUUGCACAAUGGGCGGAAGCCUGAUGCAGCAACGCCGCGUGCGGGAUGACGGCCUUCGGGUUGUAAACCGCUUUCGCCUGUGACGAAGCGUGAGUGACGGUAAUGGGUAAAGAAGCACCGGCUAACUACGUG